GUGCUCACUUUGGCAGAAUAUAUUCUAAAGUUGGGACAAUACAGAGAAGAUUCAUAUGACCUCUGUAUAAAGAUAACAUGCAAAUCUGUAAAGCAUUGUAUAUAUAU